rnacentral:rRNA from 1 species
CAAGUCGAACGAGAAAGUCCGCAAGGAUGAGUAAAGUGGCGUACGGGUGAGUAACACGUGGAUAACCUGCCCUUUAGUGGGGAAUACCGCUGGGAAACCGGCGACAAUACCGCAUAAGCUCGAGAGAGGAAAGCAGCAAUGCGCUGAAGGAGGGGUCCGCGGCCGAUUAGCUAGUUGGCAGGGUAAAAGCCUACCAAGGCUGCGAUCGGUAGCCGGCCUGAGGGGGCACACGGCCACACUGGCACUGAAACACGGGCCAGACUCCUACGGGAGGCAGCAGUGGGGAAUCUUGCACAAUGGGGGAAACCCUGAUGCAGCGACGCCGCGUGAGCGAUGAAGCCCUUCGGGGUGUAAAGCUCUUUCGGCAGGGACGAUUAUGACGGUACCUGCAGAAGCAGCUGCGGCUAACUACGUGCCAGCAGCCGCGGUAAUACGUAGGCAGCAAGCGUUGUUCGGAGUUACUGGGCGUAAAGGGUGCGUAGGCGGCUUCUUAAGUCUGGUGUGAAAUCUCCCGGCUCAACUGGGAGGGUGCGCCGGAUACUGAGGGGCUAGAGUGUGGGAGAGGAAAGUGGAAUUCCUGGUGUAGCGGUGAAAUGCGUAGAUAUCAGGAGGAACACCGGUGGUGUAAACGGCUUUCUGGACCAUUACUGACGCUGAUGCACGAAAGCGUGGGUAGCAAACAGGAUUAGAUACCCUGGUAGUCCACGCCCUAAACGAUGCAUAUUUGGUGUGGGCCAUUCAUUUGGUCCGUGCCGGAGCUAACGCGUUAAAUAUGCCGCCUGGGGAGUACAGUCGCAAGGCUGAAACUCAAAGGAAUUGACGGGGGCCCGCACAAGCGGUGGAGCAUGUGGUUUAAUUCGACGCAACGCGAAGAACCUUACCUGGGCUCGAAAUGCU